UACGUAGGUGGCAAGCGUUUGUCCGGAUUUACUGGGCGUAAAGAGCGCGCAGGCGGUCGUUCAAGUCGAGUGUGAAAGCCCCCCGGCUCAACUGGGGGAGGGUCACGCGAUACUGCUCGACUCGAAGGCAGGAGAGGGGAGUGGAAUUCCCGGUGUAGUGGUGAAAUGCGUAGAUAUCGGGAGGAACACCAGUGGCGAAGGCGACUUCCUGGCCUGUUCUUGACGCUGAGGCGCGAAAGCUAGGGUAGCAAACGGG
rnacentral:rRNA from 1 species